rnacentral:rRNA from 1 species
UUGAAACCAGGGUUAGAUACCCUGUUAUACUUGGUUGAAAGUUAAUUUCUUGAGUAGUAAUCAGUUAUAUUCUUGAAACUUAAAGGAUUUGGCGGUAUUUUAGUCUUGUUAGAGGAACCUGUUUUGUAAACGAUACACCACGAAAUAUCUUACUUUUUCUUGUAGUUCAGUUUGUAUACCGCCAUUGAUUCAAGUAGUUUUUAUAAGAGUCUAUUAUAAUAGUUGUUAACUAAUACAUUAGGUCAAGGUGCAGCUAAUGAAAAAGUAUUAAUGGGUUACAAUGAUAUAUGUGUAUUACGGAUUAAGAGUGUAAUACUCUUUUGAAGGUGGAUUUAAUAGUAAAGUUCUUUUAAUAAGUGAUUUUGAUAGAAGCUCUAAGAUAUGUACACAUCGCCCGUCGUCCGCGGGAAAA